AUGGGAGGGGCGGGAGCCUCACCUGUUCUGAAGCCUGGUCUAUGCUGCCAUCUUGUGUCCACAGCAGGAAGUGCGCCCGUUUCGCCGCUCGGAGCAAGUUCCCGAGUUCACACUCGGGUUGAGCGGGAACUGAGCCCUGCGCUCCAUCUCCUCCAGACACAGGAAGCAACAAGGAAUGACAACCAGAAACUUAGAAGGACAGAGGGAAAAUUAUAUUUUCCUCCCCUACAAGACUUUGGGGAAGAAAGCUGUGUGACUGUCUGGGGAGAAGCUUCCAGAUCCCAAAGUGGGAGCAUUUCUGGCAUGUUCUAGCCCAGCAAGGGAGCUGGGGUGGCUGGAGUGGAGGGCCGAGGGUUGCAGAGUUGAUAUGAGCUGGGAGAGGUGACGGAGGUUGAUACAGGCAACCUCAUAGAACAUGUGAAGACCAGCUUUUACUUUUGAGCAGAAGAGCAUCACAACGGGACUUCCAUUUUAAGGUGCUUUCUCAGGCUGCUGUGUGGGGACCAGACACCAGGGAUAUGUGCACAGAGCCCAGAGUUUCCUAAAGACUGGAUAUGGGGUGGGAGAGAAGAGACUAGUCAGGAUGCUGUCUCCAUGGGGAUGGAGUUGCCAUCAGCCAAGACAGGGUGGCUAUGGCAGGGGUAAUCUUGGUGGGGAGGGGAGAUCUCAAUCUAGGGCAGGCUGAGUUUGGGAUGUUUAAUAAACAUCAUAGAGAGGAUAACAAGUGAAUUAAUUUCAGUCCACUGGGUAACCAUGUGUGUGUGCGUUUGUAUGUAUGUGGGUUUUACUUUGGGAAGAUACACAAGCCAUAAAAUUUACCAUUUUAAUCAUUUUAAAAUAUAUUCUUUGAUGGCAUUAAAUAGAUUCACAUUGUUGUUUUACAACCAUCAUCCAUCAGCAUUAUCCUCAUAACAAUCCAUCUCCAGUAACUUUCAUCUUCCCAAACUGAAACUCUGUACCCAUUAAAAAAUAACUCCACGUUCUCCCUUCCCCCAGCCCCUGGCAACUGCCAUUCUACUUCUACAAAAUUGCCUAUUCUGUGUAUUCAUAUACAUGGAAGCAUCCGAUAUUUGUUCUUUUGUGUCUGGUUUAUUUCAUUUAGCAUAAUGUCUUCAAGGCUCAUUCAUGCUGUAACGUGAGUCAGAAUUUCAUUCCUUUUUUUAAGGCAGGGUAAUAUUCUAUUAUAUAGAUAUUCCACAUUUUGUUUAUCCGUUCAUCCACCAGUGAACAUGUGGGGUUUUUUCAGCUUUUGGCUAAUUGUGAAUAAUGCUGCUAUGAACAUUGGUAUACGUCUGUUCUCGACUCUCCUUUUAAUGCUUUUGGAUUGGUACCCAGAAGUGGAAUUAUGAGUCAUAUGGUGAGUCUAUGUUUAGCUUUUGCUAUGAGGAACUGCUGCACUGUUUCCCAUUCUUGUGUGAUUUUUCCCACUUAUCCACAGGAGGGACUGAGAAUCAGAGAGGGGAAGGGACUUACAGGAGGUAGGGAUCCCUGAGCCCAAGUUCUCUUGAUUACUGUGACUCUGACACCCCUACUAGAGAGAGACUUGGAAACAGAAACUCAUGGAAGCUGAACUGAACCAAGGUGCAAACUUGGAAGCCAUCUUCAUAGAGCGGGUGGGGAAGCAGAAGAGAGGAAUGUGAGACCCAUGAGA
rnacentral:lncRNA from 1 species